AUUAAGGUGAGGGACUUGGUUCCGUGUGAAGUAUAAAAAAUUAAUUGAGAAGGAUUUCAGUAGCUGAUUUGAUGAGUAUAUGCAAGCAACCAUUUCAAGCACCCAACUAAAUUUUCAUGAGCCAAUAUUUGAAGGAGUGUUUAUCAUGUUCACCCAAACAAAACCUCUACCAUCACUGGAGUUAGAAGACAACUUAUCUUGAAGAUUAUGCACUAACAUGGUGGAAUCAUUUUAUCCUCAAACAUGAAUAUGGGAGGGUAGCUUUCACACUCGUCUCACAAGGGUUCAUAUCACACCAACACCGGACAACCCUAACUUGAUUGCGGGGAGUUCAUUUAUUAUAUUUUAUAAAACAAGUGGGAAAAUUGGUUGGUUGUGUCUUAAUGCAUGCAUUGCUAAAUUGGUGUUAAGAAGACCUUGAUAAAGCUACGACUUAGGAUAUUCAGGCGAAAGACUCAAGUGAAAGUACUUCAAAAUCACACCCUUUUUUUCUCUUCAUACAUUGCCUCACACAUGCAUUAUUCCAAGAGUGCAUCAUAGGCAAGUUAUUGCAAGACCAAGAGGGCUGCAACAAAUAACAAAAAGAAAGCACACAACAUUGUUUAAGAAUAUUGCUUAAAGACCCCAAGCCAAAAAUAAAGACACACAUCUGGCCCCCAACUUAAAAGACACAUUGUCCCUAAUAUAAGCAAAGAAAAUAUAGGACAAAGUGGAAGGAAAAACAUAAAACCUUCCCUGAGACUAGAGAUAGGAAAGCGGGCUUUCAUGACUUGCACUCUCUAAAAGAAAAUAAAAGCAUCAAUCCUCCAAAAGAAAAUCAAAAUCGGGCAAAAAAUGGUCAAAGAAAAAUUCUAGUAGGGGCACAAGGUGUCACAAUCGUAGCCUUUCAAACUCGGUACGGACGAUUGUGAGGCACUUGUUCGAACUCGAUGAACAAGUCAACCGAUCAAAAUCUGGAAGUCACGGUCAAUCUCAGCGUAUGAUGUAACCUUCCUUCGCGUUCUUGAGAAAUUGUUUUAUAAAACGCGAGAAAGAAAGAAUUACAUUGAAAUUGACGUUGCAAUAUAGAUUGUUAGUUGCAAGAGAAAAAGGUUUGCUUGCAAAGAGUGCAACACUACUUGGACGGAGAUUCAACUACUAUGUCUCCCCCAUAGUACACAUGAAGAUAUGUUGAUUUGUGAUUUGAACCUUUUGUAUUUGUAUAGAAGCGACGUAUUGCUCAUGGUGCUUUGGGUUAGAAAUUUGAACCUCACGCAUGAAGAGGUUAGAAAUUAAUUUCUCUUCCCUCUUCACGUAUAAAGUUGGGGAAAGUCCAUAUAUCACAUGGUGCUUUGGGUUCUCCUUACAAAUCCAAUGGAGUUGAUGAUUGAUAUGAGAAGAUACAGAUUGAUAGAAGGAGAUAUGGCUUAUACGGGACCGUAUUUUCCCUACUGUCACACAGUAGGUGAGUAAUGUAACUAUUUUCCCUAAGACUCAUUUCUCUGGAAUAAACGACUCAUUUCUUUAUUUA